UAUUCAUGAGUACAAUAUCUAGCAUAAGAUCUACUUUGUGAAAAUAUAAGUUGGUUUGAAGUUUUUAUUUUUAAGACAAGACUCAAUUCGAAACUUCAGGACCCUCCUGGAAAAUGGGACCUAGGUUAAAAUCCAAAACAAUCAUAAGUAGUAAAUAUAGGACAAAUGUGCGCCAAAAGGAAUAUAAUUUGGCAUCAAAGUGUGCAUAGGAGUUUUCAGAACCCACCAGAAUAAUGGGACGUAACUUUAAGAAUUCCAUUAGAUAAGUAAGUUCUGUUAUAAGAGAUCACUGAAAUCGUCAUUCGUAAGAUAAACUUUAAUUUGGAAUUUCAGGACCCUCCUGGAUAAUGGGAUCUAGCUUACAGAUUAUUAGAAAUGUUGAGUAAAAUGAUCCAAUUAACACUGACAAAUGCGCCCGGUUACCAAACUGGGGAAGAAAUUUUUCUUUUUGUUUUGUCUAUUUUGUUGAAGUCAGGUGCCCAUCUGAAAAACAGGGAAGAACAACAUGGAUGUUAAUGAUUAAAAGCAGUUCAGGAUCAAGUAAUCAGGAGCCCACCUGGAGAACAAGGGAAUACAUUCAAGUUUCAGCAGUCAGGAGCCCACCUUGAGAACAAGAGGAUACAUUCAAGUUUCAGCAGUCAGGAGCCCACCUGGAGAACAAGGGGAUACAUUCAAGUUCAUACAGUCAGGAGCCUGCCUGGAGAGCAAGGGAAUACAUUUCGAGUUUAGUAAUUAGGAGCCCAUCUGGAGAACAAGGGAAUACAUUCGAGUUUCAGCAAACAGGAGCCCACCUGAAGAACAAGGGAAUACAAUUCAAAUUUCAAGUAGUCAGGAGCCCGGCUGGAGAAAGAGGGGAAGAAAAAAUUCAAGUUCGAGUAAUCAGGAGCCAUCCUGUAGAACAAAUGAUAGGCAACAAUGGUCAAAGGAAGACGUUUAAAGGUUCAACAAUGAGGUGCCUGUCUGGAGGAAAGUGAAAGCAUCUCAAGAAUACAAUUCAAGUCAGCAGCAAAGGAACUUCCGUUGGAAGACACAAGUCAAUGAGGCAACAAGAAUCACAAGAUCAAGUUUGAGAAGUAUAGAGUAGAUCUUUGUAAUGCAUAGAUCAUAUUUUAGUCUAGCUUCUUUAUUUUGUCAUGGUGUAAUAAGGAGGUCAGUAAGCAGUAGCAGCAGCAACAACAACAGUAAAAUCACAGCUUCAUGGUAGUUCCAGCUACCGAAACUUCCCGAAUUACAUUGACCUGAUUCCUUUAUAUCUAAGAAUAUGUAGGAAACCUUCCCACAGAGUAUUCAAACGGGCAAAAAUCGCUCGUAUCCGCUCACUGUAUCUUUGCACGAAAACUCUUCGUGUUUCCGGGCAAAGAAGGACAGCUGUGAGCACGUGAUUUUUUCCUCAUAUGAAUUACUCCAAAAGAAUACCCAAAAUUAGGUUUUUUUCUUUAAUUAUGUGUUAUUCUAGGAAUUACUGUGCGAUUUUCCUGAUUGUUUGCAUAUCUUUGUGAGCAUAUUUAAUUUUAUUAAUGCAUUAGAAAAUACAAAAAAUAUAGCAGCUGCACUUAGGAUUUGAUUUUAUAUUUUUUGGUUAAAUUAGUAAAAUGUUGUUUUACAAAAACGAAAAAUUCACAAAAAUAACGUAUUUUUGCAUUUUAUUGUUUAAUGUCAAAAUUUUGCGAUUUUAUUUUAAUUUGGUAUUAAUUAUGUGUGAUAAUUAUUAUUUAGAGAUAAUUAGUAUUUUAAGAUAAUUUGGGGUAUUAUAGCUUAAUUUAGGANNNNNNNNNNNNNNNNNNNNNNNNNACCUAGGUUAAAAUCCAAAACAAUCAUAAGUAGUAAAUAUAGGACAAAUGUGAGCCAAAAGGAAUAUAAUUUGGCAUCAAAGUGCGCAUAGGAGUUUUCAGGACCCACCUGAAUAAUGGGACGUAACUUU
rnacentral:lncRNA from 1 species